AAGAAGGCCCCAUUGUCUGCCUCUUUUCCCCUUGAUGAGUUUCUGCCAUUAGACCCAAAACCAAAAACCCUAUAAAACCCUAGAAACAAAUUCAAGUCGUAGACGAAGAUGGUGCGAGGGCUCAGACAAUUCGCCGAAAGAAGAGGAGACGGUGCCGGAGAACCAGUUCUCAACACCGACAAUGGCGAGGAGAUUAUGCACGUCCAGCCCAGCGUUGCCAUCGUCAUAGGCAACCGCUCCCCAGAAUCACCCGGCACUCUCUAUAUCUCCACUAAGAAAGUGGUGUGGUUGAGUGAUGUGGAUAGGGCAAAAGGUUAUGCGGUUGAUUUCUUGUCUCUGUCACUGCAUGCAGUAUCAAGGGAUCCAGAGGCUUACCCCUCUCCUUGCAUAUACACUCAGAUCGAGACAGAAGAUGAUGGAGAUGAGUCAGAUAAUUCAGAUGCAGAAAAUAAUGACGUGUUGGACUUAUCAAAAGUCACCGAGAUGAGGCUUGUCCCUUCAGAUCCCAGCCAAUUGGAUAAUCUGUUUCAGAUAUUUUGUGAGUGUGCUGAGCUAAAUCCUGAACCGGUUGAUGAGGAUGUUGAAGAAGGGAACAAUUGGGUUUUUAGUACUGAUCAGAUGGCAGAUGAUGCUGCAGAUGAGGAAGAUUCUGAAUGGCAUUUCUCCCAAAAUCCUACAAGCUCAAUUGGUCAUUCAAAUGGGGAUCAUGACGUAGCACGUAGAGUGCUUGAGCUUCAAAUCAAUGAUCAACGGUUUGAAGAUCCAGAAGAGACGGAACAGGACAGUGACAGUGGCCAUUAGCGAGCCUCCAUUUUUUGUGGCUUGAAACGGUUCAACCGCUGCCCAUAUUCAUUAAUUGUGCUGCAUAUGUAAAUUUUUAUUUUAUCUAAAUGUUCAACGGGUGGCAAAACCAUUGUCUUGUUGUGUAGCCUGGCUUCUGACAUUUUUAUAUGUUGGUUUCAUCAGACUUCUAAUGUAGAAUUAAACAAGUACUUGGGGAAAAAAAAAUGGAGGCUCGCU
rnacentral:misc_RNA from 1 species